UACGUAGGUGGCGAGCGUUGUCCGGAUUUACUGGGCGUAAAGAGCGCGCAGGCGGCUGGUCAAGUCCGAUGUGAAAGCUCCCGGCUUAACUGGGAAAUUGCAUCGGAAACUGAUCGGCUGGAAGGUGGGAGAGGGUAGCGGAAUUCCCGGUGUAGUGGUGAAAUGCGUAGAUAUCGGGAGGAACACCAGUGGCGAAGGCAGCUCGCUGGGACGUGACUGACGCUGAGACGCGAAAGCGUGGGGAGCAAACAGG
rnacentral:rRNA from 1 species